UACAGAGGUCUCAACCGUUGUUCGGAUUCAUUGGGCGUAAAGGGUGCAUAGGCGGUCGCGCAAGUCGGAUGUGAAAUCUCAGGGCUCAACCCUGAAACUGCAUUCGAUACUGCGUGGCUAGAGUGCUGGAGAGGAGACUGGAAUUUACGGUGUAGCAGUGAAAUGCGUAGAUAUCGUAAGGAAGACCAGUGGCGAAGGCGAGUCUCUGGACAGCAACUGACGCUGAGGCACGAAGGCCAGGGGAGCAAACGGG
rnacentral:rRNA from 1 species